rnacentral:rRNA from 1 species
UACGUAGGGUGCGAGCGUUAAUCGGAAUUACUGGGCGUAAAGCGUGCGUAGGCGGUUCCUCAAGUCCGUUGUGAAAGCCCCGGGCUCAACCUGGGAAUGGCAGUGGAAACUAGGGGACUGGAAUCUGGCAGAGGGGGGUAGAAUUCCACGUGUAGCAGUGAAAUGCGUAGAUAUGUGGAGGAACACCGAUGGCGAAGGCAGCCCCCUGGGUCAAGACUGACGCUCAUGCACGAAAGCGUGGGGAGCAAACAGG